rnacentral:rRNA from 1 species
ACGCUCGACACCUACGGGGCAGCAGUGAGGGAUAUUGGUCAAUGGGGGAAACCCUGAACCAGCAACGCCGCGUGAGGGAUGACGGUCUUCGGAUUGUAAACCUCUGUCCUCUGUGAAGAUAAUGACGGUAGCAGAGGAGGAAGCUCCGGCUAACUACGUGCAAGCAGCCGCGGUAAUCUGAGCGGGCUGGCAAGGC